GCAGUGCUUCGAGUAAGUCUCACCAUGGGGAAGGAUUGAGCAUCAGAAUGAGAAUGGUGGAGCCCCACGAACAAUCUACUGGAAGGCCUCAUGUGAAUCUUUUUGCUUCUAGGGUUGACUUUCCUUACUUUGAAGAGGGAUAUCCCGGGUCUUGGCUGCAAAAAUGUGAAAGAUAUUUUUAUUAUAAUCACAUAGUUGAUCCACAACAGAAACUAGUAUCAGUUGUCCUCCACUUGAAUGGGAGAGAUGAAUCUUGGUACUUCUCUUAUCAACUAAGUAACAGAAUUGUUAGAUGCCCUGAUUUUGUUGAAGAAAUCUGUAGAAGUUAUAAUAAAUUUAACAGUAGUAACCUCAAGUUGCUAGAAAAAUUUAAGAGAGUAGAGCAAAGAGGAUCUGUCAAUGAGUAUUUGGAAAGAUUUGAAGAUUUAAAGGCAUGGGUAUUGAUAAAGUAUCCAACUAUUCCUGAGGAAUUUUUCUUGGGAUUUUUCAUUGAAGUUCUUAAGGAAGAGAUCAAGCAUACUAUUAAAAUUCUUGACCCUUAUUCCUUGAGCCAUGCCGUGGAGAAGGUAAGACAAAAGAAGAAUCUGAUUAAUACUAUGGCUAGAAAGAGCAGAAUGAGUGGUGUAAGAAGUAUAGGGCAGAAUCAAGGAGUCACUCCUAAUGUAGGAACCAGAAUUCCCACUAAUGGGAAGAAGGAAGGGAAUUUCAACGCCUCAAUUUUAGGAACCAGAUUAUUUGAGGCUAGGAAGGCAAGAUGAGAAUGUUACAAAUGUAGGAAAAAGUACUUCCCUGGGCAUGUUUGUAAAAAUAGACAACUUAAUUUCUUAUCUGGAGUUGCUGAACAAGAGGAUCAGGAGGUAGAGCAAGGUUUGAAAAGUGAGGAAAUGCCAGUUAAUUAUGAAGAAGAGGUGAUUAAUGAAUCAAUCAGCCUCAAUGUAUUAUCUGGGACUAUCACAUCUACCACCAUUAAGUUGAAGGGAGUAUAUGGAAAGAAAAUGUUUCAUCCUAGCUGACAGUGGUAGCACUAAUAUGUUUAUAACAAAUAAGACUGCCAAUAACUAGGUUGUGUAAUUCAGGAGGAUGCCCCUAUGAGAGUAAGCAGUUGCAAAUGGUGGGCACUUGAUGUGCUAUCAUUCAUGUCCUCAAUUUAAAUGAAAGACUCAUGGAAUUGAGUUUGAACACAAACUAAGACUACUAGAUAUUGGAGGGUGUGAUGUGGUCCUUGGAGUGGAUUGGAUGAGAAAACACAAUCCAAUCUUGUUUGACUUCAUUGAGUACAGAUUAUAAGUGAGUGUGAAGGGUAAAAGAGUUGACUUAAAAGGGUAUUCUGAGGAAGGAGAAUUUCAAAGCAUGACAACCGGUGGAGUUAAAAACUUAAUUAAAAAGGGGAAGGUUUUGUGGGCACACUUGUUCACAAUAAUUGCUAAUGCAGUAGAAGAUCAAGAAGGAAUACCUGUCCAAAUCCAAGAGGUUCUAAAGGAGUUCCCAUGUGUAUUUGCUGAGCCAAAAUCACUGCCUCCAAGGAGAAAUCGUGAUCACUUCAUUCCCCUGAAACCAAAUGCAGCUCCUGUCAGCAUAGGACCAUACAGGUACAACUACUUUCAGGAGAAUGAAAUAGAAAAGCAAGUAAAUGAAAUGCUUAACAAUGGCACUAUUCAACCCAAUCAUUCCCCAUUUUCUUCCCCUGUGUUAUUAGUUAAAAAGAAAUAUGGGAGUUGGAGGAUUUGUAUUGAUUAUAGGGAGUUAAAUAAAAUGACAAUCAAGGAUAAAUUCUCAAUUCCUUUGGUUGAUGAUCUAAUGGAUGAACUUAAUGGGUCUUGCAUAUAUUCAAAGAUUGAUUUAAGGGCUAGUUAUCAUCAAAUUAGAAUAUGGGAUGCUGACAUCUACAAAACUGCAUUUACGACUCAUUUGGGCCAUUAUGAAUUUAGAGCCAUACCCUUUGGGUUGACAAAUGCUCCAGCUACUUUUCAAAGCUUAAUGAAUCAUGUUUUCAAACCUUUUUUGAGGAAAUUUGUGCUUAUUUUCAUUGAUGACAUACUAGUCUACAGUUCAUCAAUAGGCAGUCAUGUUGACCAUCUCAGACAAGUAUUGAGUGUGUUAAAGAAAGAGCAACUCUAUGCCAAACUAUACACAUGUGCAUUUGGACAAGAUAGAGUGGAGUACUUUGGCCAUAUUAUCUUUGGCAAAGGGGUAGCUACUGACCCAACCAAGAUUGAGUCUAUGGUUAACUGGCCUGUGUCAGAUCAGUCUAGGUUCUUAAGGGAUUUUUGGGGCUCACUGGUUACUAUAGGAGGUUUGUGAAAUCUUAUGGAGUCAUCAGUAGGCCCCUAACCAACUUACUCAAAAAGAAUUCAUUCCAAUGGAAUAAUAGCAGCUGAAGACAGUCAUGUCUACAGCACCAAUAUUAGCCUUUUAAUGCAAGAAGGGAUACCUAUAGCUUACAUUAGCAAGGCACUAUCAUUAAAAAAUAAGGGUUUAUCUACAUAUGAGAAAGAGUAUUUAGAUGUCCUAAUUACAGUAGAAAAGUGGAGGCAUUACUCGUAAGAAGGCCACUUUAUUGUAAGAACAGACUAUCAAAGCCUGAAGUACCUUUUAGGGCAAGAAGGUAACCAUAGUUAUUCAACAGAAAGGCAUUACUAAACUUCUGGGAUUGGAUUAUGAGGUACAAUAUAAAAAGGGAACUUAAAAUAGGGCAGUUGAUACCCUUUCUAGGAGAAUGGAAGAAGGUGGAGAGUGUACACUACUAGCAAUUUUUUCCACACAGGCUACCUAGUUACAAAAGGUAUGUCUCAGCUAUGAAGAGGAUCGUGCAGCUUCUCAACUACUAGGAGCACUGACAAUUACUCCUACCAGCCUACAGGAUUAUUCCUUAACCCAAGGGGUGAUCAGGUUUGAAUAGAAGAUCUAUGUGGGAAAAGGGAAUGAACUCGGACAAAAAAUUUGGAAAGAAUUGCACCAAUCACCAGUUGGGGGCCACUCAGGCCAACAUGGCACAUACAAAAAAGUGAAGUCCAUCUUUUAUUGGUCCAACAUAAAGACAGACAUUUUUAGAAAAGUGAGUGAAUGUAAUGUAUGUCAAAGGGUGAAGAUAGAAUAAGUGCAUUCUCCAGGCCUACUACAACCCCUCCCAAUACCUGAACAAGCUUGGCAAGAUAUAUCACUAGAUUUUGUGGAAGGUUACCUUUCUUUGGGCAGAAGAGUGCCAUAUUAGUAGUGGUGGACAGGUUCACUAAAUAUGGGCACUUCCUAGAACUUAAACACCCUUUCACAGCUCAAGAUAUGACAUACCUAUUCCUUAAGAAAAUUUACAGGUUACAUGGGCUUCCUAGAACUAUAGUAUCCCAUAGAGAUGUCAUUUUCACCAGUCACUUCUGGCAGCACCUCUUCAAAACUGUGGGAACUAAACUCAAUAUGAGUUCAACAUUUCACCUACAGUCAGAUGGAUAGACAGAAAGGCUUAAUAGAUGUAUGAAGACUUAUCUUAGAGUCAUGGUCUUUGAUAAGCCUAAGCAAUGGACUAAAUGGUUACACUUAGUAGAAUGGUGGUACAAUACAAAUUACCACACUUCCGUUAAAACUACAUUAUUUGAAGCCUUGUAUGGCUAUCUACCAGUCCAAUUACCACUGGGGUCCCUAGCUAACCCAAACCAGAACUCAGCAGGAGUGUGCCUAGCUCAAAGGCAACGGGUGCUUCAGACACUCAAAGAAAAUCUCACUCAAGCUCAGUCAAGAAUGAAGUUCUACGCAGAUCGACUAAGGACUGAACAUAUUUUAGAAGUCAGAGACCAAGUCUACCUCAAACUUCAACUCUAUUAACAGUCUCCAUUGAUGUACGGAAAAAUGUUAAGCUAUGUGAACGCUACUAUGGCCCUUAUAAAUUUUUACAGAAGAUCGUAACAGUGGCUUACUAUUUAGAACUUUCGACGGGUUCCCAGUUGCAUCCAGUCUUUCAUGUGUCCUAGUUGAAGAAACGAGUGAGUGUUUCCGUAGUUCCUCAGUAGCAACCUCCAAUAUGUGAUGCAGAAGGUAGAGUGUUGAUUCAGCCUUUGGCGAUAUUACAACGACAAAUGGUUAAAUUUAACAAUAGGGUAUCAGUGAAGGUGUUGAUUCAAUGGGCUAAUUUGGGAAAGGAAGAUGCUUUUUGGGAAGAUUAGGGUUAUAUCAAGAGUAUUCCGGAAUUUGUGGCUCAACAACAACCUUGAGGACAAGGUUGUUCUUGAAGAGGUGGGGAGUGUUAUGUUCGAGGAAGCUUAGGGUUAAAUUAGGAAAGUGUCGGUGACUGAAGACUCUCUUAGUUGUAGAUAUUAGAGAGACUAUUAAGCUAUAUCAUAUUGGGUCUUAGUAAUAAGAAGGAGAAUAGGCCAGAAUAAAGGAGAGAGUAGAGGCCCACGUAAAUAGCUUCAUCAGCCCACUCAAACAGUAAUCAAUAAAUAGAAGAAUCUUGAAUGAAGCAUGGCAUGCAAAAUCUGGUAAAUUCUGUUACAACUCCUAAUCACUUUUCUCUCAAUUCUUCUCUCCCAAUUCUCUCUCUCUCUCUAACGACCUUUCUAACUCCUAUCUCUCUUCUUCUUCUUUCAGGUUAACAUGGAGGAUUAGUUAGAAUCAAUAUUGUAGCCAAUUCUAUUAGCCAUUAAUCAAUAAAAAUCCUCAUUUCUUACUGUUUUUCCUUAAUUCAUUUCUGUCAUUUUCAGUACAUUACAG
rnacentral:lncRNA from 1 species